UACGUAGGGGGCAAGCGUUGUCCGGAAUCAUUGGGCGUAAAGCGCGCGUAGGCGGCCCGGUAAGUCCGCUGUGAAAGUCAAAGGCUCAACCUUUGAAUGCCGGUGGAUACUGCCGGGCUAGAGUCCGGAAGAGGCGAGUGGAAUUCCUGGUGUAGCGGUGGAAUGCGCAGAUAUCAGGAAGAACACCGAUGGCGAAGGCAGCUCUCUGGGACGGUACUGACGCUGAGACGCGAAAGCGUGGGGAGCGAACAGG
rnacentral:rRNA from 1 species